rnacentral:miRNA from 1 species
CCUAGAAUGUUAUUAGGUUGGUGCAAAAGUAAUUACGACUUUUACCAUUACUUUCUUCAAUGGCAAAACUGGCAAUUACUUUUGCACCAACGUAAUACUU